AACGAACGCUGGCGGCAUGCCUAACACAUGCAAGUCGAACGAGACCUUCGGGUCUAGUGGCGCACGGGUGCGUAACGCGUGGAAAUCUGCCCUUCGGUUGGGAAUAACUGAGAGAAAUUUCAGCUAAUACCUUAUAAUGUCUUCGGACCAAAGAUUUAUCGCCGAGGGAUGAGCCCGCGUAGGAUUAGGUAGUUGGUGGGGUAAUGGCCUACCAAGCCGACGAUCCUUAGCUGGUCUGAGAGGAUGAUCAGCCACACUGGGACUGAGACACGGCCCAGACUCCUACGGGAGGCAGCAGUGGGGAAUAUUGGACAAUGGGCGAAAGCCUGAUCCAGCAAUGCCGCGUGAGUGAUGAAGGCCUUAGGGUUGUAAAGCUCUUUUACCCGGGAUGAUAAUGACAGUACCGGGAGAAUAAGCUCCGGCUAACUCCGUG
rnacentral:rRNA from 1 species